UACGUAGGUGGCAAGCGUUGUCCGGAUUUAUUGGGUUUAAAGGGUGCGUAGGCGGCUUUGUAAGUCAGUGGUGAAAUAUGGCAGCUCAACUGUCAAGGUGCCAUUGAUACUGCGGAGCUUGAGUACAGAUGAGGUAGGCGGAAUUGACGGUGUAGCGGUGAAAUGCUUAGAUAUCGGGAGGAACACCAGUGGCGAAGGCGGUGCUCUGGGCCGGAACUGACGCUGAGGAGCGAAAGCGUGGGUAGCAGACAGA
rnacentral:rRNA from 1 species